AAGCUACCCUUCAAUGCAAGAACCAGGUGUGAUGGUGACUAUUGAGUGUCAACUUGAUUGGAUUGGAAGAUGCAAAGUAUUGUUCCUGGGUAUGUCUGUGAGGGUGUUGCCAAAAGAGAUUAACAUUUGAGUCAGUGGACUAGGAGAGGCGGACCUACCCUCAAUCUGGCUGGGCACCCUCUAAUCAGAUGCCAGCCUGACUAGAAUAAAGGAGGCAGAAGAACGUGGAAAGACUUGACUUGCUGAGUCUUCUGGUCCUCAUCUUCCCUUGUGCUGGAUGCUUCCUGCCCUUGAACAUCAGAUUCCAAGUUCUUCAGCUUUUGGACUCUUGGACUUACCCCAGUGGUUUGCCAGGGGUUCUUGGGCCUUUGGCCACAGACUGAAGUCUGCACUGUCAAGUUCCCUACUUUUGAGGUUUUGUGACUUGGACUGGCUUCCCUGCUCCUCAGCUUGCAGACAGCCUAUUGUGGGACCUCAUCUUGUGAUCAGCAGGUGACCAUUGAGCAGAGACCAUAAUCAAGUGAAGGAGUGAGUCACAAGAUCUGAGAACCAUGCAAAGACCUGCAGAAAGACCAUCUAAAACCAAAGGAAGAGACUAAGCAAAUCCAGCCUGGCUUUGGAGACGGCACCCUUACCUGGCACUCAGGCAACCAAGGAGCCAUGCUGAGGUCAGUGCAGAACCAGGAGCACGGUGACCCAGGGCCUCUGUGAUGACAGCCUUUAAAGAUAGAAGGAGGGGCCGGAUGUGGUGGCUCACUCCUGAAAUCCCAGCAUAUUGGGAGGCUGAGGCAGGCAGAUCACUUGAGGUCAGGAGUUUGAGACCAGCCUGGUCAACAUGGCAAACCCCUCUCUAUUAAAAAUACAAAAAUUAGCUGGGCAUGGUGGCGCACACCUGUAAUCCCAGCUACUCGGGAGGCUGAGGCAGGAGAAUGGAUUGAACCUGGGAGGUGGAGGCCAAGACCUUGACGCAAAAAAAAAAAAAAAAGAAUGGAAGGUGGGAGUGACUUUGCCCCCUGCUGCUCACCUUUGAGUGAGAUGAGCAAAGGGAAUUGACUGCAGGAUUUGGCAGAAUGCAGAUGGUUGCUGAUUUUGGCAAGAGCAGUCUCCAUCAGUGAUGCAGACAAGAACCUGACUGUUGUGGGUUGAAGGGAGACUGUGAAGCAAGUAAGUGGAGAUGGCAAAGGCAGACAACUUUGCGAAGGAAUAGGGAGGAGAGAAAUGGGGUGAUGGCUGAAGGGGAUCCCAGGCCUUAGGGCGGGCAUUUUUUUUAAAGGUGUAAGCUCUGUAACACCAGCAUCUUCAUCAGUGGACAGUAAUGGCUCUGGAAAGAGUGAGAAAGCCCAGGGUGAAGAGGAAAUAGUCACUGCAGGAAGGACUGUGGUCUACAGGUGGUUCUCCUUCCCUCUUUACAGAGGGGAUGGAGCAGUCUUGCACCUCUCUAAGACAUUUGUCUUAGAGACCUUAGAGGUAUGAGAGAGGAUGUUGAGCUGGAAACAAUGGGUGAUGGAUGUUUUAGUCCAUUUUCACAAUGCUAUAAAGAACUACCUAAGACUGGGUAAUUUAUGAAGACAAGAGGUUUCAUUGAUUCACAGUUCCACAGGCUUAACAGGAAGCAUGACUGGGGGACCUCGGGAAAUUUACAAUCAUGGCAGAAGGCAAAGAGGAAGCAAGCUGACAGGACAUCAGCUUCUGCUUGGAUACAACCAGUAACGGGGAGCUCACUGGGGACCCAGGCAGUCCUUUCCAUUAUCAGGAAGCUCUAACCAACACACCAGCUGCAUAGGCCUCCUUGCAAUUUUCCACAUUUGCCUUUGAGAGGUGCGAGAGUAGGAUCCCCUCUGUAAAGAAGAAAGGCAGAGAACAUGUGUAAAAUGCAGCAAGGCAAGGAGAUUAGAUGGUGCCAAGAUGGUGUGAUCCUUCCACUGCUUUUAUUUUCUCAGUAAAAUAUAA
rnacentral:lncRNA from 1 species